AUUACAAGUGAGGCUACCGAACGUUGGAAACAGCGGUUAGGAGCUUACACCCACCCGUGUUUACAUACUAUUGUUGCUUUGGCGGGCCGUGGCCUCCACUGCGGGCUCUGCUCGUGUGUGCCCGCCAGAGAACCAAACUCUGAAUGUUAGUGAUGUCUGAGUACUAUCUAAUAGUUAAAACUUUCAACAACGGAUCUCUUGGUUCUGGCAUCGAUGAAGAACGCAGCGAAAUGCGAUAAGUAAUGUGAAUUGCAGAAUUCAGUGAAUCAUCGAAUCUUUGAACGCACAUUGCGCCCUGUGGUAUUCCGCAGGGCAUGCCUGUUCGAGCGUCAUUUAACCACUCACGCCUAGCGUGGUAUUGGGGCACGCGGUCUCCGCGGCCCUCAAAAUUAGUGGCGGCGCCGGUGGGCUCUAAGCGUAGUACAUACUCCCGCUAUAGAGUCCCCCCGGUGGCUCGCCAGAACCCCCAAUUUUUACAGGUUGACCUCGGAUCAGGUAGGUGAUGACCC
rnacentral:rRNA from 1 species